AGAUAGUGGCGCACGGGUGCGUAACGCGUAACCAACCUGCCCUUGACUGGGGGAUAGCCCGCCGAAAGGCGGAUUAAUACCGCAUAAACUAGCAGCUCGGCAUCGAGUAACUAGUAAAGAUUUAUUGGUCAAGGAUGGGGUUGCGUGACAUUAGCUAGUUGGCGGGGUAACGGCCCACCAAGGCGACGAUGUCUAGGGGAGCUGAGAGGCUGAUCCCCCACACUGGCACUGAGAUACGGGCCAGACUCCUACGGGAGGCAGCAGUAGGGAAUAUUGGGCAAUGGGCGAGAGCCUGACCCAGCCAUGCCGCGUGCCGGAUGAAGGCCUUCUGGGUUGUAAACGGCUUUUCUCAGGGAAGAAAAAGACCAUGCGUGGUACACUGACGGUACCUGAGGAAUAAGCACCGGCUAACUCCGUGCCAGCAGCCGCGGUAAUACGGAGGGUGCAAGCGUUGUCCGGAUUUAUUGGGUUUAAAGGGUGCGUAGGUGGUUUGAUAAGUCCGGGGUGAAAGCCCACAGCUCAACUGUGGAACUGCCCUGGAUA
rnacentral:rRNA from 1 species